AUUGGCUGACUAAGUUAUGACCAGGAAGAGACGUCUUCGCUGAAUCGUUUCAUCAUAGGAAUGAAUGCUAGAUUGAUGCCUGCAGCUUCUCCAUCAAAUCGAAAUAAACAAAGAAACAGAGUACUUUGCAGAGCCAACAGGCGAAAAUAGAAAACGAUAGAGCCUGGGCCAAGACGAGAGUGAACCUCGGAUUUGCGUUCACAACCUGAAGAGGGCGAGCUAGCUAACGUUAGCUAGGGGAUUCAAAACCGACCAAUACUUGUCCUAAUUUCUGCUCAAAAGUCCUACUACAACUGGAUGCAGUUGGCACAUCCCUGAGUGGAGAAGGAUCAGAUCGGUCUUCGUCUGAGCUCGACUACAGCAGAACUGGACUACAUCAAUAAUCACCAUCCAGUCAUGGAGAACGCUUACGGGAAGUGUGAACCUACGGAGUACUCAGAAAUGUUGAUGAAAGGGGCCUUCAACCAAACACAUGAAUCAUAUGUAAAUAAGGGACGUUUGUGUGGACAACAAU